AUUGAACGCUGGCGGAACGCUUUACACAUGCAAGUCGAACGGUAGAGGGGGCAACCCCUCGAGAGCGGCGAACGGGUGAGUAAUAUAUCGGAACGUGCCCAGUCGUGGGGGAUAACGUAGCGAAAGUUACGCUAAUACCGCAUACGAUCUAAGGAUGAAAGCGGGGGAUCGCAAGACCUCGCGCGAUUGGAGCGGCCGAUAUCAGAUUAGGUAGUUGGUGGAGUAAAGGCUCACCAAGCCAACGAUCUGUAGCUGGUCUGAGAGGACGACCAGCCACACUGGAACUGAGACACGGUCCAGACUCCUACGGGAGGCAGCAGUGGGGAAUUUUGGACAAUGGACGCAAGUCUGAUCCAGCCAUUCCGCGUGCAGGAUGAAGGCCCUCGGGUUGUAAACUGCUUUUGUACGGAACGAAAAGGUCUCUCUUAAUACGGGGGGCUCAUGACGGUACCGUAAGAAUAAGCACCGGCUAACUACGUGCCAGCCGCCGCAGUAA
rnacentral:rRNA from 1 species